CCUACGGGUGGCAGCAGUGGGGGAUAUUGCACAAUGGAGGGAACCCUGAUGCAGCGACGCCGCGUGGGUGAAGAAGCGCCUCGGCGCGUAAAGCUCUGUCAGCAGGGAAGAAAAUGACGGUACCUGAGGAAGAAGCCCCGGCUAACUACGUGCCAGCAGCCGCGGUAAUACGUAGGGGGCAAGCGUUAUCCGGAUUUACUGGGUGUAAAGGGGGCGCAGACGGCGAUGCAAGCCAGGAGUGAAAGGCCGGGGCUCAACCCCGGGACUGCUCUUGGAACUGCGUGGCUGGAGUGCAGGAGGGGCAGGUGGAAUUCCUGGUGUAGCGGUGAAAUGCGUAGAUAUCAGGAGGAACACCGGUGGCGAAGGCGGCCUGCUGGACUGUAACUGACGUUGAGGCCCGAAAGCGUGGGGAGCAAACAGGAUUAGAUACCCUAGUAGUC
rnacentral:rRNA from 1 species